AUUACAAGGCGGAAGUCCUGCCCGAGAGGACAGUCCCCAGGCCUUGCUAAGCAUGCGUGGUAUCAAGAGGUGCAUUGAGGCGCUCCUGCAGCCUCCUCCCGGCACGGGACUCCUCACAACCCCCAGCCUCAGCUUCCCUGACAGGGCAGGGGCUCACUCUUCUCCACUCCGGGCCAGGAACGCAGCCUGCUUGCCUUUUGUCCAAUUGGGUGCUCUUUCUUUGCGACUGAUACAAAGUGGGAACAAACUCCGCUUCCGGUGAUGCCCGGGCCCCAGGAGGCUGGGGGAGAAGUGCACGCUGCCCAGCCUUCAACCUGAACUGCCCCCAGCACUUCCGAGCCCCGACCCCUGCAGCUGUGAGGGCCCAGGGGCUGCUGGCUGCCAGGACCACCGCAUUGCAGAGGUCUCCCUUGCAGCAAGAGAUCUGGGAGUCCACAACGGCACUUAACCUGCCCUCUGCCCUGGCACCCCAGGGACUCACUGCCAAAGACGCUCACUUUCUGGGAGACACAGACCCCAUCCAGGAAGGGGCACGAGACCACGCUGCAGGAGGCCCCUUCCAAGACCGCCAAGCAUCUGUAGCAGCGCAGACCCUGAGCUGGGAGAGAGGGCAAGAAAACACACCCCUGGUGGAGAUUUAAGAUGCUAAUGACACAUGCGACGUAUGAGCAAGCAGGUGCAGCUACUGCACGUGUGCACCCAGAGGACCCCCCCAGAACAUGCUUCCUAGCAACACCUCUGCCCACCCGCUGAUUCUCUCGGCACCACGGGAACCACCUUCUCUACUCUCACUGAACACCCCUGGGAUGUAUCUGUAAAAAUUGGAACACCUUUCGGCUAGAAACCAGAGGAAGCCGCUCAUGACACCCGGGAGCUCACAGAGGCUCUGAAGUUUCUAUUCAAGAAAACAACUCCAGAUGGGGCUGAUCUGGAAGACAAGUAACAUCUUCCUUUUCUUGGUGCUCGCCUGCCGUGCUCUAGGUGCUUUUAGAGAUGCUGGUCUGUGUGCUAGGGAAGCGAUGAACCAUACUGUUAGUCUAUUAAACAUAACUCAACCUGGCUGGCUUUCCAUGACUACCAAACGCUGGGAAUAUGCCAGACCUGUGCCCGUGGAAGACUCUGGCCUCCCAGCACACCUCCAGGAACAAACUCCCUGGCCCGCAGGAUAGGGAUAGCAGCCCCAACCGUCAAUACAAAGGGAUUUUACUGAGUGGGCUCAUGGGUUCUUUAAGUUCCCCCUCUUAACGAUCAACGGUAAUUCAAACGUCCCAAAAGGAGAAAUGCUUUCUUAGCAUAUCUUUUACCUGGAGUAUUUCCCCUUCUGCCUUUACAGCAAUCAUGCCAGUUCUACCACUUUUGCAAGAAAGCUCCAAGAGAGUCAGUGUAGCUGAAACUUUGUCACUGGGUCACCUAUCUAGUCCAUAUGUCUGCAGGAAUUAUACUGAUAAAUGGACAACUCACCAUGCAAUCAAUCUCCCGCUCUAUCCUGUUCCCUGACCGGCAUGGUUUCUACUUCCUGUCAGCACAACUAGGACGUCUGGUUUCUGCUGGGCU
rnacentral:lncRNA from 10 species